CAAUAAUUUCUCGAUCAUUUUUUCAAGUAGUUGUGGAGGAAGGCCAGCUGCCUGCCGGAGCAAUGUUACAAUGUGCAGCUGAUGCGUUGGAAGAUGCCACGUCUAUCGAUGCGUUUGAGAAAAUUAAGAGUUGCAGGGACAGAAGAACCUAGAGAGAUAGGUACUCGUCGCUGCAUCUGAAGAGCUGCCCAGAAAUAACAUUAAGUUUAUCCACAGGCGCAACUAUUCCAGCCAAAUGCAAUAUGCUGGCGUUGUUAAUAUCUUUAUAAGCAGUAAUCUGUCCUUGUGUGCUUCAAUAUCACGAAUAAGGUUAAAGACUUUUUCUUUGCGCAGUAAUCUGUCCUUGUGUGCUUCAAUUAUGAACUUGUGUGUGCAUCAGCUUUUUGUCAUAAUCUGCCCUGAUUCCUGGGACUGUAUAAGAAAAUAACUCAGAAAAUGAACUUGUUAAUGUGAACUCAAUGAGUUUAUCAUAUACAUAGGCAUGGCAAUCA